rnacentral:lncRNA from 1 species
GUGACCACGAGCGUAUCACAGAUCAUUAUAAUCAUAGGUCAAAACUGAGUCUCAAUCGUCAAGACACUGAAUUUCAAGCUCCAAUAAAGAUUACAACGGUAAGAAAUCUUGUUGCACUAUCAGUUAAUCACUAGUAACAUAAUUUACAGUUAUUUUUGUUAUAGUUCAGUUAAUAGCACCAAGUGAAAUAAAUAUGCUAUCUACAAACCAUAUCUCGCUAAUUUCUACUAUGUAAAGAAUCUCCAACGAGUUAUAUUCAUAGAACUCAAAGGCCAUAACAAGCUGUGGACCUGGUUUCAUAAUCUCAUUCAACGACUCACUUAGUACUUCUUAAGCGUCCAGGCGAACAAUAUGCCUCUGCCUCAUCCCUACAUCUGCAGCUUCCCGAUUCUGCUGAAUCAUGCCAAUAUCACUUACAUUUGAACUUUGAUCCUCUAGGACAACAUGCUUCUCGUCUAAAUUCUCCCCAUAAUUGUGGAGUCUACGACCAAUCAAAUACCGGUCAUCGCGCAUCGAAUUGUGGAGGUUGGGGAACACGAUAUGAAACCGCUUGGCACAGAUGAACAGCAGACUAAAGCUAAGGCAUCCCAACCAAGCAAAUCGAUAGACAGCUGAGUUCACCACUAAUGGGUACCCAAAUAACGGAAAUACGCCUC